AUUGAACGCUGGCGGCAUGCCUUACACAUGCAAGUCGAACGGCAGCACGGGUGCUUGCACCUGGUGGCGAGUGGCGGACGGGUGAGUAAUACAUCGGAACGUACCUUAUCGUGGGGGAUAACGCAGCGAAAGUUGCGCUAAUACCGCAUACGCCCUGAGGGGGAAAGCGGGGGACCGUAAGGCCUCGCGCGAUUAGAGCGGCCGAUGUCUGAUUAGCUUGUUGGUGAGGUAAAAGCUCACCAAGGCGAUGAUCAGUAGAUGGUCUGAGAGGACGAUCAGCCACACUGGGACUGAGACACGGCCCAGACUCCUACGGGAGGCAGCAGUGGGGAAUUUUGGACAAUGGGGGCAACCCUGAUCCAGCAAUGCCGCGUGAGUGAAGAAGGCCUUCGGGUUGUAAAGCUCUUUUGUCAGGGAAGAAACAGCAGCUCUAACACAGUCUGCGAAUGACGGUACCUGAAGAAUAAGCACCGGCUAACUACGUGCCAGCAGCCGCCGUAA
rnacentral:rRNA from 1 species